AACGAACGUUGGCAGCGUGGAUUAGGCAUGCAAGUCGAACGCGAACGUCGGGCUUCGGCCUGACUAGUAGAGUGGCGAACGGGUGAGUAACGCGUGGGCAAUCUACCCUCGAGUGGGGAAUAACCAUUCCAACGAGUGGCUAAUUCCGCAUGUGCCCUCUCUGUCGCAUGGCGGAGCGGGCAAAGGUGGGGAUCUUCGGACCUGCCGCUCGAGGAGGAGCCCGCGUCCCAUAGCUAGUUGGCGGGGUAACGGCCCACCAAGGCGACGAUGGGUAGCCGAUCUGAGAGGAUGACCGGCCACACUGGGACUGAGAUACGGCCCAGACUCCUACGGGAGGCAGCAGUCGAGAGGCUUCGGCAAUGGGGCAACCCUGACCGAGCGACGCCGCGUGCGGGAUGAA
rnacentral:rRNA from 1 species